GCCGGGGUAGCCUAGCUCGGUAGGGCGGGGGACUCGUAAUCCCCAGGUCCCGGGUUCAAAUCCCGGUCCCGGCU
rnacentral:tRNA from 2 species